GGGGAUAUAUAGCUCAGUUGAUAUAGUAUUUGCCUCGCACGCAUAAGGCCCUGGAUUCAAUCCCCAGCCCCA
rnacentral:tRNA from 1 species